rnacentral:rRNA from 1 species
AUUGAACGCUGGCGGCCGGCCUAACACAUGCAAGUCGAACGAGUGGCGGACGGGUGAGUAAUGUCUGGGAAACUGCCCGAUGGAGGGGGAUACCUACUGGAAACGGUAGCUAAUACCGCAUACCAUCGGAUGUGCCCAGAUGGGAUGAGCUAGUAGGUGGGGUAACGGCUAACCUAGGCGACGAUCCCUAGCUGGUCUGAGAGGAUGACCAUCCACACGGGAACUGAGACACGGUCCAGACUCCGACCUUGUCCAUCAGGUUAUAAGAUUGCACAAUGGGCGCAAGCCUGAUCCAGCCAUGCCGAGUGUAUGAAGAAGGCCUUCGGUUUGUAAAGUACUUUCAGCGAGGAGGCGUUACUCGCAGAAGAAGCACCGGCUAACUCCGUGCCAGCAGCCGCGGUAAUUC